rnacentral:lncRNA from 1 species
GAGGAAUUCAGCUAUUCUGUGGUCCAGUUGCAAUGUACUCUGUAACCUCUUAGGCUGUUUAGGCGCAGGUCUAUACUAACAAAUAACCAGAGAGCGCUCUUUAAAUAUUAUGAUCUUCUAUUUACAGGUUAGUCAGGCCUUUCAUGAACAUAUUAUCAUUUUCAUAUUUCACAAAUUCUCAAGAGAUUUGGGAAAGGCUCACACAGAAUGAGGCAAUUCGCUCACUGAGACUGAAAUACCACUGCAGCUGAGGAUGUUCGGCUGCUACUGAGAAGAAUCGAAUGUUUGGAAAGGACCUCAAUCCACCUGCUGUCAGAAACUCUGCAUUAUCUGACAGCCUCCUGACUGAUCCAAGCUGCGUUGUUCACGUGUCAGGAGUAAGAAAAAGGUUUCGGAAGAAGAACUGGAGGGCUGCUGGUGAUAGAGCUGUGGCUGGAACUACAGUCCCAAGAAGUUGCAGGGGAGAUUCAUCAGGAAAAGGUUUUCCUCAUUCCAGAAAGGUCAGGAUAGCUAAGUUGCCACAAAGCAUCUACAUGUGCUUUUACAGUAAACAUGAGGAUUUUAUGAUGAUUUUAAUCUAUAAAAUUGCCUAGGUUUCACUGACUCAGGAAAGAAGCAAGACAAUCAGCAUAUUAAAGCCUUCUUUUGCUUUGUUAAUUCCUAUACAUUCCUGAUAACAGCAUUUGUCACAGAAAUUGGCAGCAUUUCAACAUUGACUUUCCAGCUCUUGACAAAUACAUUCAUAUUUAAAGUGUUCAUUAUAUACAGCAUUGGAAGUAUUUUCUUUUUAUUUGGGAAUAAAGCAGGAAAGCAUCCUGCCUUGCUUUUCUUG